UACGAAGGGGGCUAGCGUUGCUCGGAAUCACUGGGCGUAAAGCGCACGUAGGCGGACUCUUAAGUCGGUGGUGAAAUCCUGGAGCUCAACUCCAGAACUGCCUUCGAUACCUGAGAGUCUCGAGUCCGGGAGAGGUGAGUAGAACUGCGAGUGUAGAGGUGAAAUUCGUAGAUAUUCGCAAGAACACCAGUGGCGAAGGCGGCUCACUGGCCCGGUACUGACGCUGAGGUGCGAAAGCGUGGGGAGCAAACAGGG
rnacentral:rRNA from 1 species